UAACAUUUCUAGCUUGCUAGAAGAUGACGAGUGGCGGACGGGUGAGUAAUGCUUGGGAACUUGCCUUUGCGAGGGGGAUAACAGUUGGAAACGACUGCUAAUACCGCAUAAUGUCUUCGGACCAAACGGGGCUUCGGCUCCGGCGCAAAGAGAGGCCCAAGUGAGAUUAGCUAGUUGGUAAGGUAACGGCUUACCAAGGCGACGAUCUCUAGCUGUUCUGAGAGGAAGAUCAGCCACACUGGGACUGAGACACGGCCCAGACUCCUACGGGAGGCAGCAGUGGGGAAUAUUGCACAAUGGGGGAAACCCUGAUGCAGCCAUGCCGCGUGUGUGAAGAGGGCCUUCGGGUUGUAAAGCACUUUCAGUUGUGAGGAAAAGUUAGUAGUUAAUACCUGCUAGCCGUGACGUUAACAACAGAAGAAGCACCGGCUAACUCCGUGCCAGCAGCCGCGGUAAUACGGAGGGUGCGAGCGUUAAUCGGAAUUACUGGGCGUAAAGCGCACGCAGGCGGUUUGUUAAGCUAGAUGUGAAAGCCCCGGGCUCAACCUGGGAUGGUCAUUUAGAACUGGCAGACUAGAGUCUUGGAGAGGGGAGUGGAAUUCCAGGUGUAGCGGUGAAAUGCGUAGAUAUCUGGAGGAACAUCAGUGGCGAAGGCGACUCCCUGGCCAAAGACUGACGCUCAUGUGCGAAAGUGUGGGUAGCGAACAGGAUUAGAUACCCUGGUAGUCCACACCGUAACGCUGUCUACUAGCUGUGUGUGUCUUUAAGACGUGCGUAGCG
rnacentral:rRNA from 1 species